UUUUGUUUAAAAAAGUCUUUGCUGGGGUGGCCUCUAACUAACUUAGUAAGAGGGUUUGCCCCAUGUGGACUGAGUCCUGCAGCGGCCCGGGUUCGAAUCUGACCUACAACCCUUUGCUGCGUGUCACCCCCCAAUCUCUUUCCC